CCUACGGGAGGCAGCAGUGAGGAAUAUUGGUCAAUGGGCGUAAGCCUGAACCAGCCAAGUCGCGUGAGGGAUGAAGGUUCUAUGGAUCGUAAACCUCUUUUAUAAGGGAAUAAAGUGUGGGACGUGUCCUAUUUUGUAUGUACCUUAUGAAUAAGGAUCGGCUAACUCCGUGCCAGCAGCCGCGGUAAUACGGAGGAUCCGAGCGUUAGCCGGAUUUAUUGGGUUUAAAGGGUGCGUAGGCGGGCUUUUAAGUCAGCGGUGAAAGUCUGUGGCUCAACCGUAAAAUUGCCGUUGAUACUGGGGGGCUUGAGUAUGGUUGAGGCAGGCGGAAUGCGUGGUGUAGCGGUGAAAUGCUUAGAUAUCACGCAGAACCCCGAUUGCGAAGGCAGCCUGCCAAGCCAUGACUGACACUGAUGCACGAAAGCGUGGGGAUCAAACAGGAUUAGAUACCCUUGUAGUC
rnacentral:rRNA from 1 species